UCGAGUCCUACCUGGGUCGCCUUGCGGGUGUGGUGUAGCGGUAACAUGCGAGCCUUCCAAGCUCUUGUCACGGG
rnacentral:tRNA from 1 species